GAUGAACGCUGGCGGCGUGCCUAAUACAUGCAAGUCGAGCGAAGCGGGGACGGGUGAGUAACACGUGGAUAACCUCCUAUAAGACUGGGAUAACUUCGGGAAACCGGAGCUAAACCGGAUACUUAUACAUGGAUCUGCGCUGCAUUAGCUAGUUGGUAAGGUAACGGCUUACAAAGGCAACGAUGCAUAGCCGAACUGAGCGGGUGAUCAGCCACACUGGAACUGAGACACUGUCCAGACUCCUACGGGAGGCAGCAGUAGGGAAUCUGCCGCAAUGGGCGAAAGCCUGACGGAGCAACGCCGCGUGAGUGAUGAAGGUCUUCGGAUCGUAAAACUCUGUAAUUAUGGAAGCGGUACCUAAUCAGAAAGCCACGGCUAACUACGUGCCAGCAGCCGCGGUAAUAC
rnacentral:rRNA from 1 species